rnacentral:rRNA from 1 species
AUGGAUAUAGCCAUGAGGACAAUGGGCUCCCUCCUUCUCAAACUGGGUGAGGUUAUCAAGGAUGAUUACAAGCUACAGAAGGGAGUCAAGAAAAAGGUCAAGUCCUUCUCUGCCGAACUGGAUAUUAAGGUUAUGCGCGCUGCCCUUGGCAAGGUGGCAGACAUGCCGCGGGAUGAGCUCGAUGAGCGGGUCAAGCUUUGGGCUGCCGAUGUGAGGGAGCUGUCUUACGACAUGGAGGAUGUCGUCGACUCUCUCCUGGUGCGUGUUGAGGGCAGUGACCCCAAUACUGAUCAGUCCAACUUCAAGAAGCUCAUGCCCAAGAUGCUAAACGUGUUUAAAAAGGGCAAGGCUCGCCGUGAGAUUUCCGCAGCAGUCGAAGAAAUCCAUGAGCGGUUGCAAGAUGUGACCAGACGACAUGAAAGGUAUAAUCUUCCUAAUCUACCUGCAGCAAAAAGGACCACCACUGACCCUUUCUGGGAGGUUCUCUAUGGAGAUAAGAAGAAUAUCAUCAGCCUAGAGAAAGCAAGGGACGAUAUUAUCAAGAAGAUCAGUGACGGCGACCGUGUGUCCAAUGAGCAACUUAAGACACUCUCUAUUGUUGGAUUUGGAGGACUGGGCAAGACUACCCUUGACAGAGAAGUAUAUGAUGCCCUCCCAACAAAAUUUUAUUACAAAGCUUUUGUGUCAGUGUCUCAGAAUCCUUACAUGAAGAAAGUAUUAAGCAAUCUUCUCUCUAAACUUGAUAACAGAAGACAUGCUAGACUGAAUGCAGCAAGCUUGGAUGUAGGACAACUCAUCGACCUAGUCCGAGAAUUGCUUAGCAAGAAAAGGUACUUUAUCAUUAUCGAUGAUCUAUGGGAUAAAGAGGCAUGGAAAACAAUCAGAUAUGUACUUCAGGACGAUAAGUGUGGAAGUAUAAUAAUUACUACAACCCGCCAUGUCAAGAUCUCUGAAGAAUGUUCCUCUUCUAAACAGGAUAUGAUUCAUCAGAUGAUAUGCCCAGAAACUUUUCUAUGGAAGAAUAUUUUCAAGUGA